UACGUAGGGUGCAAGCGUUGUCCGGAAUUAUUGGGCGUAAAGCGCGCGUAGGUGGCCCCAUAAGUCCGCUGUGAAAGUCAAAGGCUCAACCUUUGAAAGCCGGUGGAUACUGUGGGACUAGAGUACGGAAGAGGCGAGUGGAAUUCCUGGUGUAGCGGUGGAAUGCGCAGAUAUCAGGAGGAACACCAGUGGCGAAGGCGAGUCCCUGGACAAAACCUGACACUGAGGCACGAAAGCUAGGGGAGCAAACAGG
rnacentral:rRNA from 1 species